rnacentral:rRNA from 1 species
GAUGAACGCUGGCGGCGUGCCUAAUACAUGCAAGUCGAGCGAACAGACGAGGAGCUUGCUCCUCUGACGUUAGCGGCGGACGGGUGAGUAACACGUGGAUAACCUACCUAUAAGACUGGGAUAACUUCGGGAAACCGGAGCUAAUACCGGAUAAUAUUUUGAACCGCAUGGUUCAAUAGUGAAAGACGGUUUUGCUGUCACUUAUAGAUGGAUCCGCGCGGCAUUAGCUAGUUGGUAAGGUAACGGCUUACCAAGGCAACGAUGCUUAGCCGACCUGAGAGGGUGAUCGGCCACACUGGAACUGAGACACGGUCCAGACUCCUACGGGAGGCAGCAGUAGGGAAUCUUCCGCAAUGGGCGAAAGCCUGACGGAGCAACGCCGCGUGAGUGAUGAAGGUCUUCGGAUCGUAAAACUCUGUUAUUAGGGAAGAACAAAUGUGUAAGUAACUAUGCACGUCUUGACGGUACCUAAUCAGAAAGCCACGGCUAACUACGUG